rnacentral:lncRNA from 1 species
UCAAAACAGGAUUAAAAUAGAGCAACAACAAUCAACCAAAAAACAAACCAUAAAUUGCAAUCAUAAAUCGAUCCCAAAACAAGCAUGUUCAUUCAAGAAAAUCAAGACCUCCCCGGAUAAUUCAAAAUCACCGAAAAAUAUCAAAGAUCCAAAAAAUAGAUAAAAAAAAUGUUAGAGCACCAUAAACAGAUCAAAUAAGUAGGAAUAAACAUACUAAGUGAAUCUGUAACAAGAUACAAGGAUUGGCGUUGCUUCAACGGCGGAUGCUGUAAACUAGAUUCCGGCCAAAUCUGGCCAUCUUUGAUGUGGCAGUGGCUGGUGGAGCUUGAGGGGAAAGGAGUCGGUCUUGUUGAGGCUGUCGGUGACUGAUGGAGCUUGAAGCUCAUCGAAAUUCGGCCAUGGCAGAGAGAGAGGGAAGAAAAGUUUGCGAUGUUGAGGGAAAAGAGAAGGGGCAGCUAUGGAAGUUGAAGAGGGAAUGAGAAAAAAGAGGAAAAUGGAAGAAAUGUAUGAAUGAGAGAGAAAUAUUAGACUUUGAAG